AAGAUUUGAACUCUCUUAACCGAACUCAGUUUGGGCCGACCACUAAGCCCGAAGAAAUCACAUCAAGGAGAGAGCUCUAACCAAUCGCACCAAGCCCGAAGAGAUGACUUCCAAGGAAGGGGAGGCUCUAUGACUGACCCCAACUAUCCACGCAUGAGGGUGGACUUCCCUAGAUGGGAAGAAGGAGACCCGAUUGGUUGGAUCUCAUGUGCGGAGCG
rnacentral:lncRNA from 1 species